GCUGUAUCAGAGCAGCCUGACCAAUUGCAUUUUGCAGAUGAAUAAACGGAGACUCCAGACCCUUAAGGACUCCUGCUCCAGGAUAGCUUGAAUUUGGUGAAAAAAAAAAUAUUACAAAAAUGCUGGAUGGGCUCAUGUGCUACUUCAACAGCAGAAUGGAAACAAAAGGUGGAGCAACAUGGAGAGGGGGGCAGCCAGAUAGCGAGGAACUGCUGCUGCAGCAGUACUUCAGGGCUGGAGGUGCUUGCAUGUUUUGCAUUGCAGGGUGCAUGUACUCAAGUACAGAAAGCUCUGCUCGCUGGCAUCCCUCAUGAUGUUCUAUCAGCCUAUUUUUGCACUGGCAAGGAGGCGCUCUUUCAGUUUUCAUUAGGUGAG